UUCCAUUUUAUGCUGGAGACCAGAGUCUCACCCAGCUCUUCAUGCAGAAGAAAUUGCCCUGAAGGCCGUGGAGUUGUUCUGGACUGACAUUGGUGGAAGGAAGAGGAGUUACAGCACUGGUGGCUCAUACUUCUCAAUUUCCAGGCCUCCUGCCUCUAGGCAGUCCAUCGAUGUGCUUUAUCACACAAGAGUUUCCAAGUCCUUCAAACAGAUCAAAACAAAUUACAAACUGGAGCAAAUUAGUAUUCUGUCUAUAAGGCCUUCAUCUGAUUUUUACAGACAAAUGUCUUGCUUAAGUUGAUUUUCUUGGUCUGGAUUGUCCUUGAUCACCCCAAAGAUUGUCUUGCUUGCAUGGAGAGGGAGCUGGGGAGUGGCUGGAAGCAGCCACUUUGUCUAACUUAGGACUAAAAUGAUUGUUUUGUUGUACUCUGAGCAGAGAGGGGUUCCUAAAGAGAACAAUAUAGAGCAAAAGCUGAGUAAAAUGCGGAUGAGAUGUUCAAGUUAUGAGUUGCAUACCAGGAACAGGUGACACAACUGAUUCCUGUGCCCCUGGUGCAGCCUUGGACAGGUUUCUCUGCAACUCUGGUGCCCCCAGUGGGGGUACAGCUGUGUAAGAUGCACACCUGAACCUGGGGCCACAAAAUGCUUCUGAAGAAUCUUGCAGCUCACCUCUUUCUUUAUCAGAAAGUGCAGAUGGAGUCACUUGUGUGUUCCUAUGAUAACUGCACUGGAUACUAGUUAAGGUUUACCCUAUUAGGCUUAGAUUUAAUAUUUUUUUAUAACAAGUAAGGAAUUUAGAUUUAGAUUUAGGGAUUUAGCUCUAACAGGCCAAAGCUCCUUCUAUUUAUUAUUCUUGUAUUUGGAUACUAAAUCCUGAAUAUCUGUUUCUGGUAAGCUGAAUUGCAGUGAGGAGCAGAAGAAUAACCGGGAGGUCAAUGAGAUUCACAUCACUGUGAAUGACGUGUCCAGUGAGCCCUGCUGGUGUCACAGCAGUGCUGGGGGGAGGACCCGCCCUGCUCCAUGACACAGAGGGUGCUGAGGGCAUCUUUUAUGAGGCACUGGAAAUAUUCUGGAAUCUGCUUCCCACCCCAGUCCAAAGGAGCCCAGAUUUGGUGACUUUCCAGGCACAUUGUAAAAGAUUUCCAUUGUCAGAUACCUGGAGAGGGCGAGAACAUGGCUCUGCUCCUCUGCCCUGGGAGUGGGAUUGAAAUGCUGGGGAGCUUAUUUCUGGUUAUUUAGUCUGAGACUCCUGGGCAGACAACUUCAUUACCAGAAAACUAAAUAGCAAAUGAAUACAGACCAGUUAGGGAACCUGUAACAGGGACUUCUGCCUAUGGUUUGGGAUAGGAACAAUUUUUACACUUGGGACAGAAGGAAUAGUGUAUAAAAUACAUCAGAGUCUAGAUUUUCCCUGUAUUUCUCUUGUCUUCCCUGCCCACCUCAUCUCAUUGAAUAUAGAAAUAUUUUCUUAGCAUUCAAAGAGCUGAUUUCUUGGUUUGGAUGUUGGUCUUUGAUAACGAGUUUCUAAAUGCCUGCUUAAAUUUACUCUGCUGCAGAUUGUAGGAGAAAGGCAGUUACUAAAUUAAGCCACAUAAGUAAAAAGGUGGAUAAAUAAAUACACAGGGAAGACGAGGUUUUGGAGCAGAGCUGUAAAACUUCUAAGUAGGGUCAUUUUUCUAAUUAUAGGAUGGUGAGGCUGAAGACUCUCGUGCCCAGGCAAAGGAUGAAAAAAACUAUCCAACUGGAUAAAUAAAUCUCUUAAAGAAAAAGAUAGUUGUCUGCCAAGAAACCUAAUAUGAAAUGUUGAGAGUGCAGUUCUGAAAAAGAUUUAAUUGGAGAUAUACUCCUAAGAAUAUGUAAAUAGUCUUUCAAUUUCUUAACUAAAAGGAGAAACAGAUGCCAGUUCUAAGAUCUGAGAUCAAAUAUGAAAAGUACUGAGGCCUCUAAAUGUCACUUUAAAAAGUAUAUAAUUAGAUUCUUAUCUUGCUAAGAGGUUGGCCAGUAGUUUUUCAGUGAAAGGUAUAAACUCUUUGGAUAUAGUCUACAGCAAAUGAUUCAGUUGUCUACUCUAAGUGCAGUAAAAUUCAAACAUAUAGAUUUUAAAAUGUAAGUUACAAAUUUAAGUGGCCUUACAACAAAACAGUGAUGUGUCAGUUUUGAGUAGGCAGUGUUCUGGUGCUCUUUAGUUGGGACCUGCUGAUUGGGGAUCCAGUGUCUUUUUAAUGUUUGGGUGCCCCAACGGUAAAAAUUUCAGUCAUGGCUUUUAGACUUGAUUAUGGUGUCAGCUGCAGAUAGAUCAGUGAAUUUGGGCAAAAUAAAUAAAUCCAUUUUUAUUCAUUCAAGGGCCUGCUACUCAAAAGAACAUUAGCCUUACAAACAGGGGACAACAGUUCCAUAGGACUGGGGGUUAGUCAUUCAGUUCCAUCUGGUUUUCCCCUCCCUGACUUUAGUAGGGACCACCCAGGAAAACAAUGAACCAUAGAGUAGAAAUUAAUGUAGACAGAGGGGAUAGCUCAGUCACUGCCUGACAUUGCAAUUUUUCAUUUGCAUGAGGAUAUUAUAUAUAUUUUUUUUUAAAUUAGUGUAGUCCACUAUGCCUUCAUCAGCCACCAGCAGACUGAGACACAAGGGUUUAUUUUGUUUGUCUGGGGCAACCACUCUGACUGCAAUUCUACUGAAAGCCAAGACAUAAAAUGAUUGUGACAUUUCUGAUCCAGCAGGAAUUUGUAAGUACCAGAAAAUUCAAGCAACUUUCAUUCCACAAGUCACAGGUUCAGGUAGGAAGCUUGGUCCUGGUCUGAUUUUGUUCAGUUUUGAUUACUGCAAUAAAUCUGAAAUUAAACUGAGCUUUCCAACACUGAGUUUCCAGUGAUGCCAGGCUAGAUUUAUGGUUCUGGGAACAAACCAUACAGUUUUGCAGAGAUUGUAGUGUUGCCAUAGAGUCAUAGACCUAAAGAGUGUGGUUCAGUCCCUCUGCUUGCUCUAAGCAAAAUGAACUUCACCUAAAUCCCUUCUAAUCAGAUGCUUGUCUGGCCUGUUUUAGAGACCAGUAAUGGUGAUUUUCCCUCAGUGUUCAUAGAAAAACACCUAGAAAAUGGAAACUACUCAGACCAGCUCCUUUGGUACACCCAGAUGUACCUCAUGUUAAGUGUCUGUGGCCCAUGCACAAUGAAACCAGAUCUUUCUUGGAUUAAAUGUUUCCAUUUUGCUGUUCAAAAAAAAACUUAAAUGAAACAGUUUAUACAAAAUGAUGGGGGUAAAAAAUGGUUUCAAUAAGUUCAUUUCCCUUAUCUUGGGGAAAAUCUUGGUUUAAAGCUUAGAAAAGUCAGUACUUUCUAGUUUUUCCAAAGAAAUGUCCUACUGUUAUGAAAUUGUGACAAAAUGCAGAAUUCCUCAAAACUGAAGUUUUCCAAGCAUUCCUAGCAGGAGGUCAGCAUGGUGCUAGAAGGGGAAUUUCAUACAGUUCCCUCUGCCCAUCCCUGUUCUUCUGGAUUUGCUUCUCUUCCAUGCUUCAAAGCUGCUUCAGAAAGACAAGGAAAGAAAUGGUGAGCAAAUGUCACUGUCGAUAAAGCCAACUGGAAACCUUCCUGUUGCCUUCUGUUCACUCUGUAGAAGAUAUGAACAGAAAAUAUGAGGAGGAUUAGGGGUGCCUCAUUCUCCUGGGUUCUCCUUUGUGGCCUUGUUACCCCCAAAGCCUGACUGAAACCUUGCCCAGAGCGAUUCCUGCCUCCACUCACCCUCCUCUGUGCUAAACCUCUGUAAAUCCUCACCAUCAUCCCAGCGUGGUGGAACACCGCUGACUAUUUGGAAUUAACAACAAAUGUUUAGCCUGGCCAGGAGGAUAUCUGGGCUGGGGUUUUAUUUCUGUGGGGACAGUAGCACUGGCCCUGGUUCUGCGGCGCCGGGGCCAGCACAGGCGGGUUGGCAUCCCUGCAAAAGCAUCACCUUUGCCUCUGCUGUCUGCCUCCACACUCAGAUCUCCCACACGGUCCUGGAAUGUGCCUCUUGUCUGCUCCCCGGCUGGCUCGGGAGCUUUUCAAAAGGUUUAAUUGAGCUCUCAUUCGAGUCCCUUUGCGCUGCCAAAAAAUCCGAACUUCGGUUCCAAGCAGAGUUAAGGAAUCCUCAUUCCCAGGAGAAAAGAGGAGGGGAGGGCGUGGAGAAGUUGAGCAUUUUAAAGGAGAGGGAAAGAGAUGAUACCAGAUUAAUUUUUUAUUUUUUUCCCCCUGUUUAAAGGGACAGGGAUUUUGUGUUCCCGUCCGCACGGCGCUGUGAGGGAAGAUUAAUCCACGUUUGCAUGGAAUACUUUAAAGCUGUCUGCAGUGAUCCCAUGGAUUCCCCACACACCGUGCAUCUGAGGGCUGCAUCAUCCCAUCCCAUCAGCAACUCUGGGAGCCAUAGCAUGGGAGCUGGCCAGCAGAAAUGCACCAGAGCAGCUGUCUUGUCAUUGUGAGUGGGAGAAUGUGCUCACCUGCUCAGCUUCCCUGAGAAUCAGACAAAUACUGAAUCAUCUAAACUGCAAACUGGUAAGUUUACUGUUGCAUUUUCCAUUACCUUCACAACUGUGAAAGUGAAUUUUAAAUAAAGCAAGUGACUGGCUUGCUUUCAGGGAGCUUUCUGGAAAUUCCAAUCUUGGUAAAUAAGAACUGGUGCAUGUUUUCCUGCAAGGUAAGUCUGGUAGAAAGAGCCAAUUAGUUGCUAGCUGCCAAAUUGCUUAGUGGCAUUAGUGUGACUACUUCAUGUCCUAUGUAUCUGUCUGGGAUAAAAACUUCUGGACUUACUGAAGAAGUUGAUGCUUUCAAAAUUCCAGCCUUUGCCUUUUUUCAAUGAAUUGUUGUUAUUUAAAUAAGAUGAGAUAUUAUUUAUCUGCUCUUUAUAAAGAGACACUACAUUUCUGGCCCUGGGCACAGUCUGCCUUUUCAGUACACUCUGUACAGCACCUAACACACAGCUCCCCAUGCUGCUAAAGAUAAUAAAUGUAGGAAGAUUGUGUCAUGCCUUGAAGAGUGAUGUUUUUACCAACUGAUCAGUCUGCAGCUUAAUUUGGGGUAACUGAAUAUAGAUCAAAUGAUCUACUCUGAGAGGGAACAGCUUCUGCAAACACACAGAAUCUUCUAUUAGCAUCUGUGUGUGGAUGGCAGGCAGUAAAAAGCCACAAACCACUACAAUGUGCUUGUAGGAACUUUCAUUUCU